rnacentral:rRNA from 1 species
CAACAGGGAUUGCCUUAGUAACGGCGAGUGAAGCGCCAAAAGCUCAGAUUUGAAAUCUGGUAUCAUUUUGGUGCCCGAGUUGUAAUCUGUAGAGGAGUAUUCGGUUUUGGUCAUGGCUUAAGUUCCUUGGAACAGGACGUCAUGGUGGGUGAGAACCCCGUUUGCGGCCUUUGUCUUCCAAUCAUGUGAAUCUCCUUCAACGAGUCGAGUUGUUUGGGAAUGCAGCUCUAAAUGGGUGGUAAAUUCCAUCUAAGGCUAAAUAUCUGCAAGAGACCGAUAGCGCACAAGUAGAGUGAUCGAAAGAUGAAAAGAACUCUGAACAGAGAGUUAAAUAGUACGUGAAAUUGUUGAAAGGGAAGCACUUGCUACCAGACGCACUUGCAAUUGAUCAGGCUUCAUUUUGUAAGCUGCACUCAGUUGUAGGUGGGUCAGCAUCAGUUAUGGCGGUGGGAUAAAGGCCUGGGGAAUGUGGCUCUCUUCGGGGAGUGUUAUAGCCUCUGGUGUAAUACUGCCUGCUAUGACUGAGGAUCGCGCUUCGGGCGAGGAUGCUGGCAUAAU